rnacentral:rRNA from 1 species
GAUGAACGCUGGCGGCGUGCCUAAUACAUGCAAGUCGAGCGAACAGAUGAGGAGCUUGCUCCUCUGACGUUAGCGGCGGACGGGUGAGUAACACGUGGAUAACCUACCUAUAAGACUGGGAUAACUUCGGGAAACCGGAGCUAAUACCGGAUAAUAUAUUGAACCGCAUGGUUCAAUAGUGAAAGACGGUUUUGCUGUCACUUAUAGAUGGAUCCGCGCCGCAUUAGCUAGUUGGUAAGGUAACGGCUUACCAAGGCAACGAUGCGUAGCCGACCUGAGAGGGGGAUCUGCCACACUGGAACUGCGACACGGUCCAGACUCCUGCGGGAGGCAGCAGUAGGGAAUCUUCCGCAAUGGGCGAAAGCCUGACGGAGCAACGCCGCGUGAGUGAUGAAGGUCUUCGGAUCGUAAAACUCUGUUAUUAGGGAAGAACAAAUGUGUAAGUAACUAUGCACGUCUUGACGGUACCUAAUCAGAAAGCCACGGCUAACUACGUG